rnacentral:rRNA from 1 species
UAGUCCAUGCCGUAAACGAUGUGUACUAGGUGUCGCGGACAUUGACUGCCGCGGUGCCGUAGCCAACGCGUUAAGUACACCGCAUGGGGAGUACGGUCGCAAGAUUAAAACUCAAAGGAAUUGACGGGGGGCCCGCACAAGCGGUGGAGCAUGUGGUUUAAUUCGAUGCUACGCGAAGAACCUUACCUGGGCUUGACAUCCCGGGCUACCCUGUGAAAGCAGGGGUUCCCUUCGGGGACCCGGUGACAGGUGCUGCAUGGCUGUCGUCAGCUCGUGUUGUGAGAUGUUGGGUUAAGUCCCGCAACGAGCGCAACCCUCGCCCUUAGUUACCAGCAUUUAGUUGGGCACUCUAAGGGGACCNCUUGGCUAUAAGCCAGAGGAAGGUGGGGAUGACGUCAAGUCCUCAUGGCCUUUAUGUCCAGGGGCUACACACGUGCUACAAUGGAAAGGACAAAGCGCAGCUAAACUCGCGAGAGUGUGCUAA